rnacentral:rRNA from 1 species
GAGUGGCGGACGGGUGAGUAAUGUCUGGGAAACUGCCCGAUGGAGGGGGAUAACUACUGGAAACGGUAGCUAAUACCCCAUAACGUCCCAAGACCAAAGUGGGGGACCUUCGGGCCUCACACCAUCGGAUGUGCCCAGAUGGGAUUAGCUUGUAGGUGGGGUAAUGGCUCACCUAGGCGACGAUCCCUAGCUGGUCUGAGAGGAUGACCAGCCACACUGGAACUGAGACACGGUCCAAACUCCUACGGGAGGCAGCAGUGGGGAAUAUUGCACAAUGGGCGCAAGCCUGAUGCACCCAUGCCGCGUGUAUGAAGAAGGCCUUCGGGUUGUAAAGUACUUUCAGCGGGGAGGAAGGCGAUGCGGUUAAUAACCGUGUCGAUUGACGUUACCCGCAGAAAAAGCACCGGCUAACUCCGUGCCAGCAGCCGCGGUAAUACGGAGGGUGCAAGCGUUAAUCGGAAUUACUGGGCGUAAAGCGCACGCAGGCGGUCUGUCAAGUCAGAUGUGAAAUCCCCGGGCUUAACCUGGGAACUGCAUUUGAAACUGGAGGCUUGAGUCUCGUAGAGGGGGGUAGAAUUCCGGUGUACGGUG